ensembl:misc_RNA 7SK 7SK RNA
GGAUGUAAGGGCCAUCUAGCUGUGACAUCUGUCACCCCACCACUGAUGGCCAGGGUUGAAUCAGCUGAUCUGGCUGGUUAGGCAGGUAUGGACUUCCUCCUUCACCACUUCAUGUGCAAUGUGCAUCCCUCCUAAAGCUGAACCCUCAGUGGAAGAGGAUGACCUUUCCUGACAGAAAAAGAUUGUUCUUUGGUCAAGGGUGUAUGAGCAGCUGCACUCCCCUGCUAGAACCUCCAAACAAACUCUUAAUCCCUAGUAUCUAGAAAUAUGUUACUUAACAUGACAAAUGAGAUUCAGUAGCCAUGAUUAAAUUAAAUAUCUUAAGAUCUGGAAAAUAUCCUGAAUUAUCU